rnacentral:rRNA from 1 species
AACGAACGCUGGCGGCAUGCCUGACACAUGCAAGUCGAACGAGACCUUCGGGUCUAGUGGCGCACGGGUGCGUAACGCGUGGGUGAUCUGCCCUGCACUUCGGGAUAAGCCUGGGAAACUGGGUCUAAUACCGGAUAGGACCACUGCCUGCAUGGGUGGUGGUGGAAAGCUUUUGCGGUGUGGGAUGGGCCCGCGGCCUAUCAGCUUGUUGGUGGGGUGAUGGCCUACCAAGGCGACGACGGGUAGCCGGCCUGAGAGGGUGACCGGCCACACUGGGACUGAGAUACGGCCCAGACUCCUACGGGAGGCAGCAGUGGGGAAUAUUGCACAAUGGGCGCAAGCCUGAUGCAGCGACGCCGCGUGAGGGAUGACGGCCUUCGGGUUGUAAACCUCUUUCAGCACCGACGAAGCGCAAGUGACGGUAGGUGCAGAAGAAGGACCGGCCAACUACGUGCCAGCAGCCGCCGUAAUAC